GUAGAAAAUGAGUUACAGAUGUACAAAGACAUUAGAAGGCUGCCUGCAACAUAGAAGCAAAAUGCUCCAGGAGGCUGACCUGAAUGACAUACAUCAGUGAACUCCUUUGGCCUCUGUCAGACCCACCAAAUCAGAAAAUCUUACACUCCUACAAGAAAUUCAUGCCUUGCAGGAACAUAGACCAAUACUGAGCCACUGAUUCAGCACAUCCUCUGUGGAGACCAACCAGCCACUUGGUGGCAAGAGAUUACAUUGGAACCCUCUCAUCUCAGAAGGAGCAGUGUUUCGUGUUGACUGAAUCAACAUGUGCACCAGAUACAAGACUCCCUUUUCUGCCUGGAAUAAUCUGCCAGUAUGACUCUCAAAAGGCUUAACUCACGGACAUAGGAUCCCUUGUAGCACUGCAUUGGAUUGAGAGAUAGAGAACUCAGUUAAAAACAAGGAGGUGUGGCAGUGGGCCCUUGACUAUGGUAUCCCCUGGCCUUAUCACAUCCUAUGUCACUCAGAAGUUGAGAUCUGAAAGAGUGAAAAAAAAGCUGCUUACUAGACACUGAGGACCCAGCUUGGAGAUGAUAAGCUGUGAAGAUGGGCGCUGUUCUCCAGACAUAAUAUAUAUGUCCUAAAUCAACAACCAUUCCCUAGGGCUGUGUCCCCAGUAGAUAGCAAGUGCGAGUCUGGAAAUCAAAGAGUAGAAAUAGGCACAGCCCGGCUUAUAUCACUUCAAGUGACCAAUGUAGGGAAUUUAUGCUUCUUACUACACUCCCAGGCUUUUGUGGUUUAGAAGUCCUAGUUUCUAAAGGGAGAACAUUUCCACCAGGAAACUCAGCAGGAGACCCAUUAAGCUUUAAGCUAUGCUUACUGAAUGUCGCUCAUGCCAAAGCCUAUCAGAAAAGGGAAAUAGCCUUCAUCCCAGCAGGAGUAAUGGGCCCUGAUGAUCAGGAGGAGGUGGGGCUGCUGUUACUCCCUGGGGUUCUCUUGGAACCCUCUUGCCUAAUUUCAACAAAAAAUGGACAAAUGCAGUGGUCAUGGCCUGAGAAAGGCUCAGAUCUUACUGUUGAAGGUGGAGGUGUCCCCAACAGGUAAGCCUCUUAGACCAUCAGAGGUGUUAGCCAAGGGUGAGGAGAAUCUAGAAUGAGUAGGGGAGGAGAGAAAUGAUGUGUGUAGUUACCUUGAAACUGCAGCAUGGAAGUUGGGGGGGUUCUGGGGCUAUAAUUCCUGUCACUGGCCUUCCUCUUGUUAAGUUUACCUAGGAAAACAGGCCAGCGAGAAUCUUGGAGGGGCUGUUCCCAAGUUUUACUAUAAAAUGAAAGUGAAUCCAAGUGGCCUGGGGCUGAAUCUGAGUUCAUGCUGUAGGCACUGCCCAGAUGCCUUGUCAGAGCUAAGAUCAUUCUCCCAGCUACUGAGGGUGUGGGUAACCUGUGAUGCUUAACUGAGUCCCUCUCCAGGAAUUGCCUUUAGCAAAAGAUGAGCCACCUCUCUUCACCCAGACCACACUCCCCUCCCCAGGGAAUGUACAGCCCAAUUCAGUGUGUGGUCAGUGCAGAAGCAGAAAGGCUCAAUUUGCCUGCAUCUAGUGAGACAUCUAGGAGGGUUCAUCCUACUCCCUGAACUCCCCAUGGGGUUGACUGAGGCCUUCGUCACAACUUCAUUGCAGUUCAUACCUCCCUUUGCCCCAUCCCACUUCUUUCAUUCUGCAUGGGCAUCGAUCUUGAUCGAGGCCACUCCCCAGAACACUCCCUGCCUGCAUGUCUCUCUCAAGAGUCUGCUGCCUGGGGAUUGGAUUUAAGACACAUGCUGGUCUUCACCUAGGAGUAAUUUCCCUGUCCAUACUUUUGAUCAAAUUUCCUUGAAUUAUCUUAAUUUGAGUGUGCCCUCUGAAUUUUGAUGGGAUCUGGACUGACGGGGCAGGGUAUUGGGCUAGGGACAUGACUGGCAGGUAAGUCUGCCUAAUUCUGAGGCUCAGUAUUAGUAGGACUCUUUACUGACACAUGGAAUUUGUAUUCUCAAACGUACCAAAAUCAGCUUACUAAAGAUAUUUUGGUGUCCACCUUAUUUCUUUGUUUGUUAAAAGUAAUGGCGAAAACCACAAUUCCUUUUGCACCAACCUAAUAAACUAUUCAGAACCUGAAUGGAAGCCACUCCUUGGUGGUUCCCUUAGAAACCCCAGCCCCAUCCAGAGCCCUUGUAUCAGAUUUGGAUGGAAAGGGCAUGUGUUUAGCCUGUUCAAGGGUGACUUUUAGACAGUCCUCUCUCUCUCUGUCUCUGUGUGUGUGUGUGUGUGUGUGUGUUGUGUGUGUGUGUGUAGGUUCAGCCUUUUCUCACUAAGACAGUUAUUUUCACCCAUAGGCAGGCACCCUGAUGGGAGAGGCAGGAUGAAUGGAUCUCUUUGAUACUCAAAGUUUUUUAAGCCAUUGAUGUGUUACGUGUCUAAAAUAAUAUUCUUUUUUAAAAAAUUAUUGUUUCAUGAUAUGAUUAAUAAAUUAUUUUCUUUGUUAAAUAUCGAUUAAAAAUUAUAUUAAUAAUUAUGUUAAUAAUUAAGAAUUAUAGAUGAGGAUAAAAUUCCUUUUGACUGUUACAGCAGUCCACUCCCAAGAGAAUAAACUAUUACCUUCCAGACCUUUUCAAAAUUGACAGGAUCUAUUUAAAGUCCUGUAUUUUAUUUGACCAGAAAAUUCUAUUUUUCAGAAGUUACAUUUAAGAAAACUUCUUGAAUGUACAUGACAAAGAAUGAACGAGCAUAUUUAUUGCAACAUUGUUUGUAAUAGCAAUAAAGGUAAAUAACUUAAUAGGGGACUAAAUAAAUUGUGGUAUAUUUUUACAAUGACAGAGUAUACAGUAGUAAAAACAGUGAGGUGGAGCCCUAAGUGCUAACUUGGAAAAAGCUUCAGGAAAUAUCACUGAGUGAAAAAGCAGAUUGCAGAAUGAUAAAUGUAAUAUGAUGCAUUUUAUCAGGGCUAUUUAGGAAAAUUAUGGCCUAAUAGAAAUGACCUGGGCUGAGUGAGAGGAGCAGAAAUGGGGAGAGUGAUUAUUGCCCCUUGCUUGCUUUGCCUCCUUUAGCCAUUUCUUCCUGUUCUCUCAAUCAUUCUUUCCCCUCUUUCACUCCACAUUCUUUCCUUUCUUCAUCACUUCUUUUCGUGGUUAAAAUUGAAGCCAAGUCUACCCUCUAGGAAUUGUAUGUGUUUAUGCUCGUUAACAACCCGUUGAACUCUGUUGAUUAGCAAUAUGGCCAAUCCAAACUGGUUGUUAAAGUGUCAAAAUAAAUGGAUCCAAUACCUGCACCCAGGCUCACAUGAUCUCGUUGAUGAAUAAUUAAUAUAGCCUCAAUAUGAUGCAUUAUAUGGAAACCUGCCUGCUUUGGCUACUGUGAAAGCUUAAAAAUAAA